UGCUUGUUGGGGUUGUAGGACACUCUAUACGGAGUUACAAAGGACGACAUUAGACGAAUCAUCUGGAAAGAUGAAUCAAAGAAGGUAAUAAUCCUGUAGUCGAAAAUGUUGUCUCUCUUGAGUGGAUCCUGAGUACGACGGAGCACGUGAAAUUCCGUCGGAAUCUGGGAGGACCAUCUCCUAAGGCUAAAUACUCUCUAGUGACCGAUAGUGAACCAGUACCGUGAGGGAAAGGUGAAAAGCACCCCGGAAGGGGAGUGAAAUAGAACCUGAAACCGUGUGCUUACAAGUAGUCAGAGCCCGUUAAUGGGUGAUGGCGUGC
rnacentral:rRNA from 1 species